CACUACUUGCAUUUGUUGUUUGAAUUUUGUCCUGUUAUUAAAUUUAUAAUAAUAUCAAUUUAAUUAUUCAUUAAAUUCAUAAAAAGAGAGAAAAGGCUGUUCAAUUCAAAACUAAAUGCGAAGGAAAACUUACGAAUGGAUGAGAGAAUCAAAUUGAUAAAAAAAAAAAAAAAAGAGAGAAAUGGAAUUAUUAUAGGAGUGUUUAAUAGUAAUGUUAUGUUUUUCAUAGAGUUGGUUGCGAUUAAGAUGCCUAAAUAUAACAGCUGGAGCUGAUGGGUUUUGAUUAGGUCAUGAUUAUUAUCUCACAGUAAACAUGAGAACAAGAAUUCAUAAUUAAAUAAUAACAUAAUUACUACUUUUUAAUGUUUUUCUGGAACCCAAGACCCAGAUGUAGGGCCAGGGCUUCACCUUGGGGGACUCUGCUACUUUUUAUUACUUUUGUUUGUCCUUUUCACCUCUCCAUCUCUCCUCUUUUUUUCUUUUUUUUCUUAACUUGUUUUUUCCCCUUUUUGAUCUCUAUAUAUCAACUUUUAGUUCCUCACUUCAAUUCUAUCACUCACCUAUGCCAUUGUUAAUCUUCUUUGGGUGAAAUAGAUGAGAAGAUUGAAAGGAAGCCAUUUCUUUUGAGGGGAAUGUUGUCUGGCUCGAGGCCAUCAACUAGAUCUAUGGAUUUUUUUUUCAUAUAUCAAAGUUUGAGAGAUGAUGAUGAUUUAAUCAUUAAUCAUAGGUUAAUGACGUCGGACCAGGCUUCAUUCCCCCCAAUUAUUUGCUUCCAAUUUUGAUUAUGUUCUCUCGGUCUUUUGUUGGUAAAACAAGAAGUGGUGGGUGGUGGAUGAUAAGGAUGCUGGAGCUGUGUAAUCUCCGCCAUUUAUGUUUUGUUUUUAUGCUUGCUUUUAUCUCUGGUUAACUUUGGUACUUACUAUACAUGCUGUUAAUGGUUUAGAACUGUAGUAUCCUUUGCAAGUUUCAAGGCUGAAUACAUGGAAUUCACUCCCUGGCUUGGAAGUAUUUGUAAGGAGAUUCUACGGUUCUUAGAAUUAUAAGCAACAUUUGAUGCUUACCAGCUUUUGAUUAA